UACAGAGGUCUCAAGCGUUGUUCGGAUUCAUUGGGCGUAAAGGGUGCGUAGGCGGCGCGGUAAGUCGGGUGUGAAAUCUCGGAGCUUAACUCCGAAACUGCAUUUGAUACUGCCGUGCUUGAGGACUGGAGAGGAGACUGGAAUUCUCGGUGUAGCGGUGAAAUGCGUAGAUAUCGAGAGGAACACCGGUGGCGAAGGCGGGUCUCUGGGCCGUAACUGACGCUGAGGAGCGAAAGCAUGGGGAGCGAACAGG
rnacentral:rRNA from 1 species